rnacentral:rRNA from 1 species
AGAGUUUGAUCCUGGCUCAGAUUGAACGCUGGCGGCAGGCCUAACACAUGCAAGUCGAGCGGUAACAGGAGAAAGCUUGCUUUCUUGCUGACGAGCGGCGGACGGGUGAGUAAUGUAUGGGGAUCUGCCCGAUAGAGGGGGAUAACUACUGGAAACGGUGGCUAAUACCGCAUAAUGUCUACGGACCAAAGCAGGGGCUCUUCGGACCUUGCACUAUCGGAUGAACCCAUAUGGGAUUAGCUAGUAGGUGGGGUAAAGGCUCACCUAGGCGACGAUCUCUAGCUGGUCUGAGAGGAUGACCAGCCACACUGGGACUGAGACACGGUCCAGAUUCCUACGGGAGGCAGCAGUGGGGAAUAUUGCACAAUGGGCGCAAGCCUGAUGCAGCCAUGCCGCGUGUAUGAAGAAGGCCUUCGGGUUGUAAAGUACUUUCAGCGGGGAGGAAGGGAGUAAAGUUAAUACCUUUGCUCAUUGACGUUACCCGCAGAAGAAGCACCGG